rnacentral:rRNA from 1 species
UACGAAGGGUGCAAACGUUGCUCGGAAUGACUGGGCGUAAAGGGCGCGUAGGCGGCUCAUACAGUCAGAUGUGAAAUUCCUGGGCUUAACCUGGGAGCUGCAUUUGAUACGUGUGGGCUUGAGUGGGGAAGAGGGUCGUGGAAUUCCCAGUGUAGAGGUGAAAUUCGUAGAUAUUGGGAAGAACACCGGUGGCGAAGGCGGCGACCUGGUCCUUGACUGACGCUGAGGCGCGAAAGCGUGGGGAGCAAACAGG